GUGAAAUAGAACCUGAAACCGUAUGCGUACAAGCAGUGGAAGCCUACUUUGUUAGGUGACUGCGUACCUUUUGUAUAAUGGGUCAGCGACUUAUAUUCAGUGGCGAGCUUAACCGAAUAGGGGAGGCGUAGCGAAAGCGAGUCUUAAUAGGGCGUUUAGUCGCUGGGUAUAGACCCGAAACCGGGCGAUCUAUCCAUGGGCAGGUUGAAGGGUAGGUAACACUGACUGGAGGACCGAACCGACUACCGUUGAAAAGUUAGCGGAUGACCUGUGGAUCGGAGUGAAAGGCUAAUCAAGCUCGGAGAUAGCUGGUUCUCCUCGAAAGCUAUUUAGGUAGCGCCUCAUGUAUCACUGUAGGGGGUAGAGCA
rnacentral:rRNA from 1 species